UGGCUCCUACGGGGCGCAGCAGUGGGGAAUAUUGGGCAAUGGAGGAAACUCUGACCCAGCAAUGCCGCGUGAAUGAAGAAGGUCUUCGGAUUGUAAAGUUCUUUAGUCAGGGAAGAAGUCAAUGACGGUACCUGAAGAAUAAGCUCCGGCUAACUACGUGCCAGCAGCCGCGGUAACACGUAGGGAGCAAGCGUUGUUCGGAAUGACUGGGCGUAAAGGGAGCGUAGGCGGUUGUACAAGAUAGAAGUG
rnacentral:rRNA from 1 species